rnacentral:rRNA from 1 species
UGGGGAAUAUUGCACAAUGGGGGAAACCCUGAUGCAGCAACGCCGCGUGAGUGAUGACGGCCUUCGGGUUGUAAAGCUCUGUCUUCAGGGACGAUAAUGACGGUACCUGAGGAGUAAGCCACGGCUAACUACGUGCCAGCAGCCGCGGUAAUACGUAGGUGGCAAGCGUUGUCCGGAUUUACUGGGCGUAAAGGGAGCGUAGGCGGACUUUUAAGUGAGAUGUGAAAUACCCGGGCUCAACCUGGGUGCUGCAUUUCAAACUGGAAGGCUAGAGUGCAGGAGAGGAGAGUGGAAUUCCUAGUGUAGCGGUGAAAUGCGUAGAGAUUAGGAAGAACACCAGUGGCGAAGGCGACUCUCUGGACUGUAACUGACGCUGAGGCUCGAAAGCGUGGGGAGCAAAC